rnacentral:tmRNA from 2 species
GGGGAUGCAAGGCAUAGACAGUGGGUCUAAUGUAAAGAUGCAUGUCGAGCAUGAACAUAAUCUCGUUAAAAUUUGUUCAAAUGUUAAUUGCAAAAUUAACUUCCAAAGCUAGAGCAAUCGCUUCUCCUUACUUCGGUAUGGCAGAAUUUGCUUUCGCUUCAGUUUCCGCUUCGGCGUAAGCUGAUGUCUUUCUCAUAGACUUCCGAUAUAUGAGAGUUAGGCAUAAUAUUAUCGGGAUAGUACCGAUGCUUUCCUGACAUCGGGACAAAAUAAAGGGAAUCGAUUAAAAAAUAUUUUGCUCGUUUAAUAAUUUUUUAAUUUAAAUCAAAAACGCGUCACACAUGUGGAUUUCUUUACAAAAACCUUCUGCACGGGGAUUCAAUUUCCCCCAUCUCCACAU